GACCCGACUGCUAUUUGGGUGAGAAUAAGCCAUGCGAGUUGAAUGGGAUACNUAAAGUUCCCAUAGCAAACUGCUCAGUAACACAUGAUCAACUUACCCUAUAGAGAAAAAUAACCUCGGGAAACUGAGGAUAAUGUUUCAUAAUUGAAUUGGCUUGGAAAAGUUUUUCAAUGAAAGGGAUAAAAAAAAUGGUUUUUAUCUGCUAUAGGAUAGGAUCGUGUUCGAUUAUGGUUGUUGGUGAGAUAAUGGCUCACCAAGCCGAUAAUCGAUAGGGGCCGUGAGAGCGGGAGCCCCGAGAUGGGUACUGAGACAACGACCCAGGCCUUACGAGGCGCAGCAGGCGCGGAACCUCCGCAAUACACGAAAGUGUGACGGGGUUACCCAAAGUGUUCAAUAGAACUGUGGUAGGUGAGUAAUGUCCCCUACUAGAAAGGAGAGGGCAAGGCUGGUGCCAGCCGCCGCGGUAAAACCAGCUCUUCAAGUGGUCGGGAUAAUUAUUGGGCUUAAAGUGUCCGUAGCCGGUUUAGCAAGUUCCUGGUAAAAUCGGGUAGCUUAACUAUCUGCAUGCUAGGAAUACUGCUAUACUAGAGGGCGGGAGAGGUCUGAGGUACUACAGGGGUAGGGGUGAAAUCUUAUAAUCCUUGUAGGACCACCAGUGGCGAAGGCGUCAGACUGGAACGCGCCUGACGGUGAGGGACGAAAGCCAGGGGAGCGAACCGGAUUAGAUACCCGGGUAGUCCUGGCCGUAAACGAUGCAUACUAGGUGAUGGUACGGCCAUGAGCCGUAUCAGUGCCGUAGGGAAACCGUUAAGUGUGCCGCCUGGGAAGUACGGUCGCAAGGCUAAAACUUAA
rnacentral:rRNA from 1 species